CGAAGAAGCAACAUCUGCUUAGCCAAAGAUGCUUCCAGCCAAGAGAGGACAAAGGGGCUAUCUCCUUAUGGGAUAGUUUCCAGGUGUGUGUUACUUUUCUAAGCUAAGUCUGCCUUCUGGGAUCCUACUGUGAACAGGAUGUAGGUUUUUGUAAGAUCAUUGGGGAGACAGGACCAGCAUGGAACUGGUGAAGAUGCUGCAAGCAGGAAGAGAUAUGAUCCAGCACGCCUCCCCCCUGCUAUGCAUCCUUCCUGAGAAGCUGAUGACAUCACAGAAGCCGGGCUGGAAUGCUGGGGGCUGUUCCAUCCAUCUAGCCUCCAAUUCUACUAGGGAGUUCUUCUGGGGAAUUGGGGUUGGGGGUUGGAAAGGGGAGAUGGAUUAUCUUCCUGCUGGGCUUUUUCUUCUUUUUCUCCUCCUCCUGCUGGGCUUUUUAAUCCAGUUCCUGCGAAGAGGAAUAGAGCUCCGAGGCAGGAGUAUGGAAAGCUCUGUUGCAGGUUUGGGAGGCUCUGUCGUAAAGGGUAUGG